rnacentral:rRNA from 1 species
AUUGAACGCUGGCGGCAGGCCUAACACAUGCAAGUCGAGCGGAUGAAGGGAGCUUGCUCCUGGAUUCAGCGGCGGGCGGGUGAGUAAUGCCUAGGAAUCUGCCUGGUAGUGGGGGAUAACGUCCGGAAACGGGCGCUAAUACCGCAUACGUCCUGAGGGAGAAAGUGGGGGAUCUUCGGACCUCACGCUAUCAGAUGAGCCUAGGUCGGAUUAGCUAGUUGGUGGGGUAAAGGCCUACCAAGGCGACGAUCCGUAACUGGUCUGAGAGGAUGAUCAGUCACACUGGAACUGAGACACGGUCCAGACUCCUACGGGAGGCAGCAGUGGGGAAUAUUGGACAAUGGGCGAAAGCCUGAUCCAGCCAUGCCGCGUGUGUGAAGAAGGUCUUCGGGUUGUAAAGCACUUUAAGUUGGGAGGAAGGGCAGUAAGUUAAUACCUUGCUGUUUUGACGUUACCAACAGAAUAAGCACCGGCUAACUUCGUG